UGCGCCGUGCUUCGUCGCACCUUCCUCUGCCCUCGUCGUCGUUCGCCGGCCACCUGCGCAACUCGCCGGAGAUCCGCGGCUCCAGCACCCGCGCACUCUUUCUCCUCUUUGCACUCACGUCCUCCCCUGCUCCCCUCCUCUUCUUCGCGCCUGCUGUGCCGCGCACACCACCGACAACCUCCGCCACCGUCGCAUGGUCCAGCUUCUCGGAGCCGCUGCCGUUACCCGUUCGCCGGAGCUCUGCUCCGCUCCCCUGUUGUGUGGUUCAUCCCUGCUCAAUGAGCAGAGAUUAAAGAAGAUAAAGGAUAUUACAAGCCUCCCCCGGCUAUCAUGGUUGGUAAGCAGGAAUUCAGGUAUGGAAGAACA